GGGGGUUGAAGAAAAGGUGAUAUCUGCACUAGGAAGUGUAGAAAUCUGGAGGGCAGCUAGGUGGCAUAGUGGACAGAGAAAACAUCAGGCCUAGAGUCAGGAAGACCCAAAUUCAAAUAUGACCUUAGACACCAUCUGUGUGACCCUGGUCAAGUAAUUUAAUUUCUUUGCCUCAGUUCCAUCAUCUGUAAAAUGAACUGGAGAAAGAAAUGGUAAACCACCAGUAUCUUUGCCAAGAAGAUCCUAAAUGAGAUCAUGAAGAGUGAGACAUGACUGAAAAGACUGAACAACAGAAAUCUGGAGAGUGAGAAUGGAGCUGGCAUAGAGCACAGCUGUGCCUGGACAUUUCCUCAAAUGGAGGUUCCAGGAAGAAACCCCCCAAUUAAAAGAGGGGGCAGCAAAGUUGUCACCAGGGGGAGAAGGCAUUUGGGACAGAAUGGAAGAGCCUAAAGAGUUAGGAACAGAUAGCGCAAAGACUUUUGAUUGUGAACUUCUUAAGGUGGGGACUGUCUUUCGGACUUUCUAUGUAUCCUCAAGGCAGUAGGGGCUUGAUAAGAGCUGAUUUGACUUCUACAUCAGAGCUGUCCCUAGAAAGCCAGUGCACCAAGCUGCCUCUCAGAGCACCCAACCGGAGAGUACCAGAGUAAACAACUCCAGGAAUAACCAUGAUGAUAACCAACAGUUCAUAUUUCUAUAGAGACUUAUGUAGAUCAUCUCCUUUGAUCCUUACAAUAUCCUUUUUUUCAAAAGAGGUGCUAUUAUUGUCAUCAUGUUAUAAAUAAAUUCAGAGAGAGUUGAUUGACCUACUCA
rnacentral:lncRNA from 1 species